AUUUUCCUCUUGUCUCCAGUGCCCCUCUGAUCAAACGUAGACUGUAGUCCCCCAUGCUUGUCAUUUGCCCUUCUCCUUUAGUGUCUGAGACAGGGUGUCUCAGCAAAGCUGAAGGAACUCACUGUUUCACCUGAGCUGGCUGGCCAGUGAGCUCACUCCUCUUCACCAGGGUUGUGAGGUUACAGUUACCCAUGUGCUACCUGCCAUGCUGAGUACCUCAGACAGUUCUGGGGGGUCGGACUCGGGUGUUCAUGGUUGUAUACCAGGCCUCUUACCAACUGAGUCAUCUACCUGACUCUUUCCUGGUGUUCUUUAUGUGAAAUAAUAAUUCUCUUCUCUCAUUUCAAAUCGAAGGGAUCUAUUUAGUACUUGUUGGAGGGCAGAUCUAUAAAUAAUAUAUCUUGUAGUACCUGAAUUAGAAUAUUUGAAUCCCCUUUAGUUUUCAAGUGUAGCAUUGCUGGGUACAGAGGUCUUUGACAUUUCAUUCUUUCCAUACUUUAUUUUUUUUCUGUUACAUUACUCUUUCUUUCUUUCAAAUAGUAUUUAUUGUUUUACCCCAGCUGUCUUCUCUGAGACUCUGCUGCUCAGAAAUCAUGUAUGAUGAAUUAACUUCUCUUGCCUUCAGGAUUCUCUGUCUGUAGAUCUGAUCGUUGAAUUAUGCUGUGCCUAAGUGCAGAUCUUUUAAAAUCUGACAUAUUUGGAGUUCUUUGGGUGUUUGAGCGUCUCUCAUUCCAUGUGGGGUUGUUCUGCUGAUGUUGCAUGUUAAGAUAUUUACAUGUUCCCUCUCUUCAUGACGUUAUAUUUAUGUGUCUGCAGUCAUAAGUGAUGACAUCCCACAGACCUCUCAAACUGUUGAGUGCUUUCCAGACCCUCUGGCAGCAUACUGUCAAAGGAGCUAUCCGCAGGCUCGCUGGUUCUCUCCUCUCCUGUUCUAGCUUUAACAUUUCUAUCCCAUUCUAUUUCAUCUCUUCUAACUCUGUAUUCAUAUUUUCAAUAUAGGGAGAUAUCAAUUUUAUAUUUCAGUUCUUUAGACAUGGUUUUCUUUAUGCCAGUGUGUAUAUUUGAAAUACUUAGCGCAUAAGCUUUCCAAAGCAGUAUUUCUCUGUUGAUUUCUUGAUGUCCUGUUCAUUGUCUAGCCUUUGUUUUUCACAUCUUUUAUUUUUAUUGUUAUUGAAAUGAGACAUUUUAAUAUGGAUUCAUCCCUAAACUGAAAUCC
rnacentral:lncRNA from 1 species